rnacentral:rRNA from 2 species
CGAUACAGGGUGACAGCCCCGUACACAAAAGCGCAUGUGCUGUGAGCUCGAUGAGUAGGGCGGGACACGUGGUAUCCUGUCUGAAUAUGGGGGGACCAUCCUCCAAGGCUAAAUACUCCUGACUGACCGAUAGUGAACCAGUACCGUGAGGGAAAGGCGAAAAGAACCCCGGCGAGGGGAGUGAAAAAGAACCUGAAACCGUGUACGUACAAGCAGUGGGAGCACAGGUUUACCUGUGUGACUGCGUACCUUUUGUAUAAUGGGUCAGCGACUUAUAUUCUGUAGCAAGGUUAACCGUAUAGGGGAGCCGAAGGGAAACCGAGUCUUAACCGGGCGUUAAGUUGCAGGGUAUAGACCCGAAACCCGGUGAUCUAGCCAUGGGCAGGUUGAAGGUUGGGUAACACUAACUGGAGGACCGAACCGACUAAUGUUGAAAAAUUAGCGGAUGACCUGUGGCUGGGGGUGAAAGGCCAAUCAAACCGGGAGAUAGCUGGUUCUCCCCGAAAGCUAUUUAGGUAGCGCCUCGUGAAUUCAUCUCCGGGGGUAGAGCACUGUUUCGGCUAGGGGGCCAUCCCGGCUUACCAACCCGAUGCAAACUGCGAAUACCGGAGAAUGUUAUCACGGGAGACACACGGCGGGUGCUAACGUCCGUCGUGAAGAGGGAAACAACCCAGACCGCCAGCUAAGGUCCCAAAGUCAUGGUUAAGUGGGAAACGAUGUGGGAAGGCCCAGACAGCCAGGAUGUUGGCUUAGAAGCAGCCAUCAUUUAAAGAAAGCGUAAUAGCUCACUGGUCGAGUCGGCCUGCGCGGAAGAUGUAACGGGGCUAAACCAUGCACCGAAGCUGCGGCAGCGACGCUGAUGCGUUGUUGGGUAGGGGAGCGUUCUGUAAGCCUGCGAAGGUGGCCUGUGAGGGUUGCUGGAGGUAUCAGAAGUGCGAAUGCUGACAUAAGUAACGAUAAAGCGGGUGAAAAGCCCGCUCGCCGGAAGACCAAGGGUUCCUGUCCAACGUUAAUCGGGGCAGGGUGAGUCGACCCCUAAGGCGAGGCCGAAAGGCGUAGUCGAUGGGAAACGGGUUAAUAUUCCCGUACUUGGUGUUACUGCGAAGGGGGGACGGAGAAGGCUAUGUUGGCCGGGCGACGGUUGUCCCGGUUUAAGCGUGUAGGUGUGUGUUCCAGGUAAAUCCGGUUCACUUUAACACUGAGGCGUGACGACGAGGCACUACGGUGCUGAAGCAACAAAUGCCCUGCUUCCAGGAAAAGCCUCUAAGCAUCAGGUAACAUCAAAUCGUACCCCAAACCGACACAGGUGGUCAGGUAGAGAAUACCAAGGCGCUUGAGAGAACUCGGGUGAAGGAACUAGGCAAAAUGGUGCCGUAACUUCGGGAGAAGGCACGCUGACACGUAGGUGAAGUGAUUUACUCAUGGAGCUGAAGUCAGUCGAAGAUACCAGCUGGCUGCAACUGUUUAUUAAAAACACAGCACUGUGCAAACACGAAAGUGGACGUAUACGGUGUGACGCCUGCCCGGUGCCGGAAGGUUAAUUGAUGGGGUCAGCGCAAGCGAAGCUCCUGAUCGAAGCCCCGGUAAACGGCGGCCGUAACUAUAACGGUCCUAAGGUAGCGAAAUUCCUUGUCGGGUAAGUUCCGACCUGCACGAAUGGCGUAAUGAUGGCCAGGCUGUCUCCACCCGAGACUCAGUGAAAUUGAACUCGCUGUGAAGAUGCAGUGUACCCGCGGCAAGACGGAAAGACCCCGUGAACCUUUACUAUAGCUUGACACUGAACAUUGAGCCUUGAUGUGUAG